AGAAUCAACGCUGGCGGCGUGCCUAACACAUGCAAGUCGAACGAGAAAGUGGAGCAAUCCAUGAGUAAAGUGGCGACCGGGUGAGUAACACGUGACUAACCUACCUUCGAGUGGGGGAUAACCUCGGGAAACCGAGGCUAAUACCGCAUAACAUCGUGAGAUCAAAGCAGUAAUGCGCUGGAAGAGGGGGUCGCGGCUAAUUAGCUAGUUGGCGGGGUAAUGGCCCACCAAGGCGAAGAUCGGUA
rnacentral:rRNA from 1 species